rnacentral:rRNA from 1 species
UACGUAGGGGGCAAGCGUUGUCCGGAAUCAUUGGGCGUAAAGCGCGCGUAGGCGGCCCGGUAAGUCCGUUGUGAAAGUCAAAGGCUCAACCUUUGAAUGCCGAUGGAUACUGCCGGGCUAGAGUCCGGAAGAGGCGAGUGGAACUCCUGGUGUAGCGGUGGAAUGCGCAGAUAUCAGGAGGAACACCGAUAGCGAAGGCAGCUCGCUGGGACGGUACUGACGCUGAGGCGCGAAAGCGUGGGGAGCGAACAGG